rnacentral:rRNA from 1 species
AACGCGAAGAACCUUACCUGGACUUGACAUGCACAUGACCGCCGUAGAAAUACGGUUUUCUCGCAAGAGACAUGUGCACAGGUGCUGCAUGGCUGUCGUCAGCUCGUGCCGUGAGGUGUUGGGUUAAGUCCCGCAACGAGCGCAACCCUUGUCGUUAGUUGCCAACACGUAAUGGUGGGCACUCUAGCGAGACUGCCUAGGUUAACUAGGAGGAAGGUGAGGAUGACGUCAAGUCCGCAUGGCCUUUAUGUCCAGGGCUACACACGUGCUACAAUGGUCGGUACAGAAGGCAGCAAAACCGCGAGGUGAAGCAAAUCCUAAAAGCCGGCCCCAGUUCAGAUUGGAGUCUGCAACUCGACUCCAUGAAGAUGGAAUUGCUAGUAAUGGCGGGUCAGCAACACCGCCGUGAAUACGUUCCCGGGCCUUGUA